rnacentral:rRNA from 1 species
UGGGGAAUUUUGGACAAUGGGCGAAAGCCUGAUCCAGCAAUGCCGCGUGCAGGAAGAAGGCCUUCGGGUUGUAAACUGCUUUUGUACGGAACGAAAAGGUCUGCCCUAAUACGGUGGGCUCAUGACGGUACCGUAAGAAUAAGCACCGGCUAACUACGUGCCAGCAGCCGCGGUAAUACGUAGGGUGCGAGCGUUAAUCGGAAUUACUGGGCGUAAAGCGUGCGCAGGCGGUUAUAUAAGACAGUUGUGAAAUCCCCGGGCUCAACCUGGGAAUUGCAUCUGUGACUGUAUAGCUAGAGUACGGUAGAGGGGGAUGGAAUUCCGCGUGUAGCAGUGAAAUGCGUAGAUAUGCGGAGGAACACCGAUGGCGAAGGCAAUCCCCUGGACCUGUACUGACGCUCAUGCACGAAAGCGUGGGGAGCAAACAGG